rnacentral:misc_RNA from 1 species
GCUGCUCCUCAGGCGGAGCAAGGCCUUCCAGGCCCUUCAAAAGCUCUUCUUCCGUCAUGCGCUCGACGGCCACUUCGGUGUCGUCGGCGUCAACGGAGGCGCCGGCGGAGCCGAUCAGCGGCACAGUAUCGGGUUCCGGCUCGUCCACUUCGACGAAUUUCUGCAGGGAAUGGACCAGUUCUUCCCGCAAAUCCUCGGGAGAAAUGGUCGUAUCAGCGAUUUCACGUAGCGAAACCACUGGAUUCUUGUCAUUAUCCCGGUCGAUGGUCAGGGGCGACCCUGAGGAAAUCAUCCGCGCACGGUGUGCGGCCAGCAAUACGAGGUCGAACCGGUUGUCGACCUUAUCGAUACAAUCUUCAACAGUGACGCGCGCCAUCGGCU